rnacentral:rRNA from 1 species
GGGCCCGCACAAGCGGUGGAGUAUGUGGUUUAAUUCGAUGCAACGCGAAGAACCUUACCAGGGUUUGACAUCCUGCGAAUCUCUUGGAAACGAGAGAGUGCCUUCGGGAGCGCAGUGACAGGUGGUGCAUGGCUGUCGUCAGCUCGUGUCGUGAGAUGUUGGGUUAAGUCCCGCAACGAGCGCAACCCACGUCUUUAGUUGCCAGCAUUUAGUUGGGCACUCUAAGGAGACUGCCGGUGACAAGCCGGAGGAAGGUGGGGACGACGUCAAGUCAUCAUGGCCCUUACGUGUAGGGCUACACACGUGCUACAAUGGCAUUUACAGAGGGAAGCGAGACAGUGAUGUGGAGCGGACCCCCUUAAAGAAUGUCGU